AUACGUAGGGGGCGAGCGUUGUCCGGAAUUACUGGGCGUAAAGGGUGCGUAGGCGGCCUAUCAAGUCAAUUGUGUAAUCCCUGGGCUUAACCCAGGAACUGCAGUUGAAACUGAUAGGCUUGAGUGCAGGAGAGGAAAGUGGAAUUCCUAGUGUAGCGGUGAAAUGCGUAGAUAUUAGGAGGAACACCAGUGGCGAAGGCGACUUUCUGGACUGUAACUGACGUUGAGGCACGAAAGCGUGGGGAGCAAACAGGAUUAGAUACCCUGGUAGUCCACGCUGUAAACGAUGAAUACUAGGUGUAGGGGGUAUCGACCCCUCCUGUGCCGCAGUUAACACAUUAAGUAUUCCGCCUGGGGAGUACGGCCGCAAGGCUGAA
rnacentral:rRNA from 1 species